rnacentral:rRNA from 1 species
AUGGUGUUGUCAUACUCCGAUGUGAAUACCAAUCCUUCUCGACAAUUGAGAUUGUCAUGUCAAUCCUUUUCAACCAGCGUCUUUCUCUUCAAGUGGAUCCGAUCAUUUCAACAUUCGCAAGAUCACCUCUCAGUUCUCUCAACGGUGUUUGUUUCAUCCGUCCCCAAGUUGCCUUUGUUUUUCCCGCCCACCCACCCUUUUUCCUCAAGGACUAAGAUUUCUUCUUCAAGUAUCCAUUUUAUUGAUGGGAAGUUUCUCCAUUCUUUUCCGUCAAUGUUCUUAUCCGGUGAUUCUCAUGAAGAUUCUAAUGGAGCUUCAAGUUCGUCAUUCCUCGUUCUUUUCUUCUCCGGUGGAUUUAAUUCAAGCUUUGGUAUUAAGCAUACUCCUUUUUUNNNNNNNNNNUUUUCUUCAAGGACUAAGAUUUCUUCUUCAAGUAUCCAUUUUAUUGAUGGGAAGUUUCUCCAUUCUUUUCCGUCAAUGUUCUUAUCCGGUGAUUCUCAUGAAGAUUCUAAUGGAGCUUCAAGUUCGUCAUUCCUCGUUCUUUUCUUCUCCGGUGGAUUUAAUUCAAGCUUUGGUAUUAAGCAUACUCCUUUUCUUUUUUUUCCAAUGCUUUUCUUAUGCCCGUGCACCUCUUAA